rnacentral:rRNA from 1 species
AUUGAACGCUGGCGGCAGGCCUAACACAUGCAAGUCGAGCGGCAGCGGGAAAGUAGCUUGCUACUUUUGCCGGCGAGCGGCGGACGGGUGAGUAAUGCCUGGGGAUCUGCCCAGUCGAGGGGGAUAACAGUUGGAAACGACUGCUAAUACCGCAUACGCCCUACGGGGGAAAGCAGGGGACCUUCGGGCCUUGCGCGAUUGGAUGAACCCAGGUGGGAUUAGCUAGUUGGUGAGGUAAUGGCUCACCAAGGCGACGAUCCCUAGCUGGUCUGAGAGGAUGAUCAGCCACACUGGAACUGAGACACGGUCCAGACUCCUACGGGAGGCAGCAGUGGGGAAUAUUGCACAAUGGGGGAAACCCUGAUGCAGCCAUGCCGCGUGUGUGAAGAAGGCCUUCGGGUUGUAAAGCACUUUCAGCGAGGAGGAAAGGUUGGUAGCGAAUAACUGCCAGCUGUGACGUUACUCGCAGAAGAAGCACCG